rnacentral:lncRNA from 1 species
CCCCUCCCUCAGCGCCCCCAAAACCACCCCCAAGUCGCCCCGUUGCACUGCCCGCCGGGCUGCUCUUUCCCACUUUCGCUCCCCAAGAUAAAAUUAGACACUCGUUCGGUCCUCAAAAAGUGCUUAUUUUCACCGCCUCGUCCGUGAACGUUUCAACCCCAGUGCAGUGCUUUUCGAAAAUGCAAAAAAAUUGCAUCGUCGGUUGUGUUAUCUCAUCGUCCCGGACGUAUUUUUUGGAUCUUUAUCUGGCUGCGCAAAAGAACGGGACCUUUUUUCUCUUCGACUUCAGCUGUUGGAAGAAAGCCUGGACUUCUUGGAAACCUCCCAAACCACCCACCUUGAUCACAUUGGAUUAUUUUUUUCCUUGA